rnacentral:rRNA from 1 species
CCUACGGGAGGCAGCAGUGGGGGAUAUUGCACAAUGGGGGAAACCCUGAUGCAGCGACGCCGCGUGUGGGAAGACGGUCCUCUGGUUUGUAAACCACUGUACCCAGGGGCGAAGAUGACGGUACCUGGGGCGGAAGCACCGGCUAACUACGUCCCAGAAGCUGCGGUGAUACGUAGGGAGCAAGCGUUGUCCGGAAUUACGGGGUGAAAAGGGAGCGUAGGCGGGAUGGCAAGUUGGGGGUUAAAUCUACCGGCUCAACUGGUAGUCGCACCCAAAACUGCUAUUCUUGAGUGAAGUAGAGGCAGGCGGAAUUCCUAGUGUAGCGGUGAAAUGCGUAGAUAUUAGGAGGAACACCAGUGGCGAAGGCGGCCUGCUGGGCUUUUACUGACGCUGAGGCUCGAAAGUGUGGGGAGCAAACAGGAUUAGAUACCCUAGUAGUC